rnacentral:rRNA from 1 species
UACAGAGGGUGCGAGCGUUAAUCGGAAUUACUGGGCGUAAAGCGUGUGUAGACGGUUAUUUAAGUCGGAUGUGAAAGCCCCGGGCUCAACCUGGGAAUUGCAUUCGAGACUGAAUAGCUAGGGUACGGUAGAGGGAAGCGGAAUUUCCGGUGUAGCGGUGAAAUGCGUAGAUAUCGGAAGGAACAUCAGUGGCGAAAGCGGCUUCCUGGACCAGUACCGACGUUCAGGCACGAAAGCGUGGGGAGCAAACAGG